AGCUGCUUCAGGGACAAGAUGUGGGGCUGGAUGUGCUCACGCCCCAGAGGCGACCCCCUCCUGCCCGCUGGCACGCCGCGGGGUCAAACUGUGCUCUCCAGCCGUGGCUUCCUCCCCGCCACCUGUUGCACCCCAUUGCUUCCCCAAGUGUCCUGGCUUCAACCUCCCUCUCUGGUUUUCCCAGCUCUCAGCCCACAAUCUUCAGUCCUUCGGAAUACAAGUCUUGUCGUAUGAAGGAAGCCGGGUAACUCAGCACCUUCCUUGGCACCGAGAAGAAGAGAGACAGGGGUCUCCCCAGCAAGCUCUGAUGUGAGGUAUUCCACAGGGCAAAUUCCCAGGUAUUUGGGGGCAGGGAGGACCCGCCAACAGAGGACCAGGCGGAGACAUUCACUGGAGAAUUUUCUCUGAACCCCAAGGGGGCACUGCCACAAUGUGGCUCCCGCUUUGGCCCCAGAAGCUGAGUGUGAGAGGGACCAACUGGAAUAGAGGAGGCUUUGGAAACCUCCUUGAGACUGGAUGGCCGAAUCUUUCUGGAGACUUGGCACCAGGUGAUAGCAGAAGAAGACACGAGAAGGCACAGAGGGGGAAGGGGAAGGGGCAGUGCCCCACUUCAGGGGAGACACGUCAAGAGUCUCAAGCAUACUUGGACUUCAUCUUCUUUCCCUAGACCCUUCUGAUUUGCUUCAGAAGGAGAAGGAAUGGCAAAGAUUUGUGUACCAAGCUGAUGCCAGACGCUGGCAGCAUCCUCACCUGUUGCUCCAGAAGGGGCUGUGUGCAUCCUUGAAGAGGCUUAGCUCUACCACACUCACCUACAACACCCUCUUCACCACCCCACCUCCCAAGCACAUCACUCUGCUUUGUCCUCUUCACAACACUGCUCACUCAUUGAUGAUUAUCUUGGGCAUUUUUUAUGAGCUUGUUUACAGUGGGUCUCUCCUACUGAAGUAAGCUCAGGGACAAACACACACAUGCAUACACACAAAAUGUGUCUGUUGGGGUCUCCACUGUAUCCCUAAGACUUAGCAGAGCUCUGGGUACACAAUAGGCACUCAACCAAAUGUGUCACUGAUUUGUGUGCAGCUGUGUGUGUCCUACUACCACUGAGUUAGUCCACUAGGACCUGGGGCUGCCUUCAGACUACGGUGCAAGACAGAAGAGACUGCAGGACAUGUUUAGGCUUGCACAGCCCCUCACCCCCGCCCCCCGACACACACCGGGAAGAGCCCCAUACUUUCUUUCAUGCUUUGCUGCUGAAAUUUUUAAUAAUUUUUGAACAAGUGGACCUGCAUUUUUCUUUUUUCCUGGGCCCUGCAAAUUAUAUAGCCAGUUUUGCCCUGGGCAGAAAUGCCGCAGAGCAGGGAACAGGCAAACACGCGGCUUUGCUGAGGCCAUGAGGAAGAGAAGGCUGCCAGUCCAUCCGCCUGCCGUCCUGUCCAACACCAGACUGCUAUGGAAAGGAGCAUGUCUGCCCUUACUGUAGCCAGCCUGGGAUUUGAAGUGUCCUGUAUGCAUGUCUCUUCCUCCACUGACAUUGGACCUCCGGGAAAUGAAGGAUGACAUACGGCACAGCAGAAAUUGAUCAUCAGCUGGAAAUGAUAUAUAACAGUGGUAAGGGGUUGUCACACUACUCUUCCUAACUGCAAGUGGACUUUACUGUUCCCAUGUGUCCAGACAGGAGAGGAAGACAAGAUGUGGGGCCUCCUGGGGAUCCUCUGGAGCUUCCUGGUGAUCCUGGUCAGCCUGUCCCCUGAGAACCUGAAGGAAAAAGUGAGAGGGCACCUCAGGGUACACAAGCAAGCAGAGGCUGAUUCUGCAGGACUGACAGUAGAGAGGGGCCUAAGACGCUCCCUCUACUGACCUGAGUGCAGACCCCUCGACAAAGACCUCCCCAUCCCUGACACCAAUGAUCCCAGGAUGGGGGCCCCUGUGUUGACCUGAGUCAUCCUCGGAGAACAAGUUCCUCACCUCCCCGAGAUCUGAAAACAGGAAUGAGAUGGAGCUACAUCCUGUCACCCCCACAUGGGGUGUCCAGAGCCUGGACCCACUUCCCUCCACCAAUCUCAAGCCGCCACUCAGAGCGAGAACUUCGCUUCUCUUUGACCCCCAACGCCAAGUCAGUGGUGUCACAUCCGGGCACCCGGGGAUUCCCUCGGUUGAAAGCAGGGGCGAAACCGGAUUCUACCAGAAUAGCCUGGGCCCACUUCCCUCCUCCAAUCCCAAGCCGCCUGUCAGACCAAGAAGCUCGCUUCUCUCUGACCCCCAAUGCGCAAAUCAGUGGCGUCACAUCCAGGCCAGGGGCUUCCCGGGGUUGACAGCAGGGGAAGACCCAGAUUCUGCCAGGAUGGAGCUAUAGAGGGAACCUGGGCCUGCUUCCUUCCACCGAUCUCAAGCUGCUCCUAAGACCAAGAACCUGGCUUCUCUCUGAUACCCAAUGCGCAAGUCAGUGGCAUCACAUCCGGGCCACCUGGCGCUUCUGGUUGAUUUGGGAAGCAGAGAAUAGCCGCCCAAAUUUGAUUGUAAUUUUGGCGGCUACAGGGGGUGUAUAUAUAGGGAGGCCAGGAGGCAUGGAGUAGACGAUUGAGAGACACUGACAUGGUGAAGAUGACCAGGAAACCACAAACCUCCAGCCCAGGUGUCAAAGAACAACCACCUGCCAACACCAAAGGGGCAAGGAACAGGAAGGCCCCCUGUCAAACUAAGUCUAUAAGUCCUAUCAAGGUUCCUAAGACAACCAGGAAGGGAAAAGGAAACCUUUUAGGGAAUUCCAGAAAAAAAAAAAACAACUCUCCCAAAAAAGAUCUCUGCUUCAAGAAAACCUGAGGAAGGAAGCGAGCCAAAACUAUCCAGCCCCUGUGACCAGCUGAAUGAGGAACUUAAUCAAAAUUAGCCACAGCAGGACCAAAGCAAGGAGACCUCCAACAUCCCUAGUGUCUCCCCGGGCAGCCAGUAAUUUCAGGGCAAGACCAGAGAACUCAGAUUUACCUGAAAAGUCUCCAGAGGUCUAACCCCAAAUAAAUAGCCAACAGGGUCUAGAGUACGUUUUACACCCCACAGGGUACACCCCACGGUGAUCAAAAUAAAAAGAACCUGUUGUAAAAUGGGGUGUGUGUGUGUGUGUGUGUGUGUGUG
rnacentral:lncRNA from 1 species